rnacentral:lncRNA from 1 species
CUUCUUUUCUUUUUCUUUUUUCUUUUUGAAUGACAGUAAUACCAGUCAUAAUGUUAAAGUAUUCAAGGAUUCCAAGGUUCAUCAUGAAUUCCCAUCUUAGUGUUCAACUUUGUUCAAUAGAUUCACAAACAGGGCUGAGUGCAUAAUUAAUACAGUAAAGUUGUUUACAUUAACAGCUAACAGCAAUUUGUUUAGUGAUGUAGGUAGCUUUAUUUUCCAGAAUAUAUUCUUUCUAGAUCUUUAAACUAACAGUUUUAGGUUCAGUUAUUUCAAUGAAGAAAUGUGUGGUUUGGUUGAAUAUCAAAGCAAAUACUCUUAUUGUGUGACUUUGCUUCAUGAUUGAAACAUCCCUCCUGCAGUGUGAGAGGAGAGUCCUGAGACUAAGGAAUGUAUAAACAUAAAUCUCAGAAAGCAGGAAUGUAGGAUUCACGAGACCACGCAUCAGAGUCAUACAAGUCAUAAACAAUUGCUGCAGGGAGACACUUUGACCUUUUGAGCAGCUCCUGUGAUGAGCCAAAAGGAAACAACUAUCCUGCGCCUUGUGCUGAGUAAGUUAGGGUUUGGGGAGCUUCAGCUGCCUUUGGCUCAUUCAUUUGUACUUCUGAGAAUGACCAGAGUAAACUCAGCCAUUCUCUGUGUUAGAAUUAAGGUUCGUUUAUCUAUCAUUAGUGUCUUAUGUAAAAUGAGUAGAUGUUUGCUCACAUAUAAGAAAACAGCUUAGAAGGAAAACAGGGUUGCCUGACUUUCUGAACAUUUAGAUUUCUCUCAAAACAAACGAGGAAAUAUAUAUAUAUAUGGACUGAGAAGUAAAUCAUAGACUCUAAGACACUUUUCAGAAUUGAAUAAAUAGAAGGAAUGCAACAGUGAUUUUAAUAAGCUGCAAGCAUAUUUUUUUAUGAUCUGUUCAGAAAAUCUUGACAAUUCCUAUUUCCCCAGUGCUACAAGCAAUUUUAUAAGUGUAUUGUCAUUGUUUUCAUUUCACUGUGGAAUCACGAAACAGUUCUAGGUGGUGAGUAAUGUCAUUGUCAUUAAACUUCAUUUUACCUCUACCAUGUAAGUAAAUGAAGUUGUCAGUAUGAUUAGCAACUGUGCUCCGUGCACAGCAAACCUCUCUAUAUGUAUCUGAACUAUAAUCCAUUCUUGUGGCUUUAUUCUUCCCUUACAAUGAUUUUCAAUUCUUUAACUGUUACAAAUUCUAUAAUUUAAAAUUAUUUUUAUUUAUAUGAAUGAUAGCCAGAAUGAUCAAUGAUAAUAAGUAAAGACAAAUUCCAAAUAAGAUACCACUCUAUGACCUCAGUCUUACGGCAUUUGCAAGGCUGUAGGUCCUGAUGACCACUGAGCAUCUUGAGCUUUGAGAUUCUACUUUGGCUUUAUAAAGCUCUAUGUUAUUCAGACUUCUGUCCUUUACCCCUUUUAGUAUUUUCUCUGUGUAUUUUUUUUUGUUUGUUUUUUUUCAGGCUGUUAUAAUAAAUGGCCACUGUAGUAGUUUGAAUACAAAUGUCCCACCAUGCACUCAGAUAUUUGAACACAUGGUCCCUAGUUAAGAGUGCUGUCUGGAGGAAGCUUGAAGUUUGCACUUGCUGGACAUUACCUCAGGUGAUGUUAAGAUGGAAUAACUUGCAGCUCUACCUGUUCAACAUCCCUGCUUCCUGUUUGCAACCUGCAGAUGUGAUCUGGAAAUUUUCACGUUUUCCACCAGUCCUAUCACUUGCCAACAUGACUCUCCAUCAUGAUGGUCUCUUAUCACACUGGAAAUGUAAACUCAAAUAAUUUUUUUUUCUGUAUUUGCAUUUAUCACAUACACUUG